rnacentral:rRNA from 1 species
UACGUAGGUGGCAAGCGUUGUCCGGAUUUACUGGGCGUAAAGGGCGUGCAGGCGGUUUGUUAAGUGCAGGGUGAAAGCUCCCGGCUCAACUGGGAGAGGUCCUUGCAUACUGGCGAACUCGAGGGAGGCAGAGGAAAGUGGAAUUCCCGGUGUAGUGGUGAUAUGCGUAGAUAUCGGGAGGAACACCUGUGGCGAAGGCGGCUCACUGGACUGGUAUUGACGCUGAGGUGCGAAAGCGUGGGGAGCAAACAGG